rnacentral:rRNA from 1 species
UACGUAGGGUGCGGGCGUUGUCCGGAAUUACUGGGCGUAAAGAGCUCGUAGGUGGUUUGUCGCGUUGUUCGUGAAAACUCACAACUCAAUUGUGGGCGUGCGGGCGAUACGGGCAGACUGGAGUACUGCAGGGGAGACUGGAAUUCCUGGUGUAGCGGUGGAAUGCGCAGAUAUCAGGAGGAACACCGGUGGCGAAGGCGGGUCCCUGGGCAGUAACUGACGCUGAGGAGCGAAAGCGUGGGGAGCGAACAGG